rnacentral:rRNA from 1 species
UACGUAGGGUGCGAGCGUUAAUCGGAAUUACUGGGCGUAAAGCGUGCGCAGGCGGUUCGUUAAGUCUGAUGUGAAAGCCCCGGGCUCAACCUGGGAAUGGCAUUGGAGACUGGCGAGCUUGAGUGUGGCAGAGGGGGGUGGAAUUCCGCGUGUAGCAGUGAAAUGCGUAGAGAUGCGGAGGAACACCGAUGGCGAAGGCAGCCCCCUGGGCUGACACUGACGCUCAGGCACGAAAGCGUGGGGAGCAAAC